CAGCAAGUAUCUGUCGAACAUCAGUACAGUUCCAUCAUCAGAACACAAGGCACUACAAUUCAGAACAAAGCCAUGUUCAUACAUGCUACUGUGCUGACCCAUUUCAUUUGAAAUCAGCCGUCACUGGUUGCUUCACCAUCAGUUUGGCCAUUAUUUCUGUAGAUUCAGAACAGUGCCUUGCAUCAGAGUACAGAAUACAAAAAUGUUUUAUUUUUUCCCCAACUGUGGAGGUUGCCAAAUGUACAGAAACAAUCAAAUAUAGUGGCAAGUUUACUGUACUUCAUAAACAUUUUCUUGCAUUGUUCCUACCUCUUCGCAAGAGAUAUUUUCAAACCCUUCUUAGUGUUGCAACACAUUCCGCUACUUAAAUAUGAGGGACAGCACCUUAUUGACCCAAACCAUUCUAACCUUUCCAACCCGUCAACGGAACCGUGUAAUCUGUGGAAAUUAUCACUCGUUCAUUCCUUACCGCUCAUAUUGCCUUUAUAAAAAGUAGUCAGGGGAUAUGACCUGGAGAUAGACUGUCAUUUCUGUACUGUACUAACGAAGAAUCUCAAUCAUGGUAAUCAGUUUCCAUCACACUUUCGGUUUUUUACGUCCGACAGCUUGAAUCUAUUCGCUACACUUCUGCUUUAUAACCUCAAGGUUCCAACAUACGGAUCACAUACACCUAUCGACAUGUUGUAAAUUCGUAUAUUAAAAAUCACUUGCGGUCACAUUCCGAAAUUUAAGCGUUGUGGAUACCAAAUGAAACGGCGAGUUAUCAAGUAUACCGCAUUCAUUGAUCAAGAUUUCAGUGGUGCUAAGUGUGUAGGUUGCUUUGAUAGGGUAAUUAUUACAGUGUACUGGUUUUAGGAUGACACUGUUCCCAAGUACAGGGAAAUAUACCGGCACGUACGAAGAUGCUGAUUUUACAGAAGAUAAAGCAGAUGUAGAUGUGUCAUCUUCCUUAAGGUCUGAGAAUGAGAAGCUUACUACAAAAGAAGGAAGGUGCUUUGUAAAAAUUAUUACUUUUCUGCCCUAACAUUAGUUGACAUAAAUUCUAAAGCCAAA